GGGGGUGUGGUUCAGUGAUAGAGCAUUUAUCUAGUAUGUUGGAGGCCCUGGGUUCAACUCCCAGUAACCCACA
rnacentral:tRNA from 1 species